rnacentral:rRNA from 1 species
UACGAAGGGGACUAGCGUUGUUCGGAAUUACUGGGCGUAAAGCGCACGUAGGCGGAUUUGUUAGUCAGGGGUGAAAUCCCGGGGCUCAACCUCGGAACUGCCUUUGAUACUGCAAAUCUCGAGUCCGAUAGAGGUGGGUGGAAUUCCUAGUGUAGAGGUGAAAUUCGUAGAUAUUAGGAAGAACACCGGUGGCGAAGGCGGCCCACUGGAUCGGUACUGACGCUGAGGCACGAAAGCGUGGGGAGCAAACAGG